rnacentral:rRNA from 1 species
UGGGGAAUUUUGGACAAUGGGCGAAAGCCUGAUCCAGCAAUGCCGCGUGUGUGAAGAAGGCCUUCGGGUUGUAAAGCACUUUUGUCCGGAAAGAAAUCCUUGGCUCUAAUACAGUCGGGGGAUGACGGUACCGGAAGAAUAAGCACCGGCUAACUACGUGCCAGCAGCCGCGGUAAUACGUAGGGUGCAAGCGUUAAUCGGAAUUACUGGGCGUAAAGCGUGCGCAGGCGGUUUGCUAAGACCGAUGUGAAAUCCCCGGGCCCAACCUGGGAACUGCAUUGGUGACUGGCAGGCUAGAGUAUGGCAGAGGGGGGUAGAAUUCCACGUGUAGCAGUGAAAUGCGUAGAGAUGUGGAGGAAUACCGAUGGCGAAGGCAGCCCCCUGGGCCAAUACUGACGCUCAUGCACGAAAGCGUGGGGAGCAAACAGGAUUAGAUACCCUGGUAGUCCACGCCCUAAACGAUGUCAACUAGUUGUUGGGGAUUCAUUUCCUUAGUAACGUAGCUAACGCGUGAAGUUGACCGCCUGGGGAGU